rnacentral:misc_RNA from 1 species
GUAGGUGAACCUGCGGAAGGAUCAUUAUCAAAUACUUUAAGAAGGUCUAAACAACCUCUUACUGUACACCCUUUGUCUUUGCGUACUGUAUGUUUCCUCGGUGGGUUCGCCCGUCGAUAGGACAUUUCAAACUCUUUGUAGUUGCAAUCAGCGUCAGAAAAAACUAUAAUAGUUACAACUUUCAACAACGGAUCUCUUGGUUCUG